CCUCUGUAUCUCAGCUGGAUAGAGAGCUGUACUAGAAACGCAGGGCCGAAGGUUCGAUUCGUCCCAUAUAGGA